rnacentral:sRNA from 1 species
GCUGGGUAUGGUGGUGUACACCUGUAGUCCUAGCAACUUAGGAAGCUGAGACAGGAGGAUUGCUUGCGCUCAGGAGGUCCAGGUCACAAUGACCUAUGAUUGCACCACUGUGCUCCAGCCUGAGCAACAGAGCAAGACCCUGUCUCUU